UUGAAUUAGUCGCAAACACAUGAUGUUGUAAGAUAAAAUUAGAAGUUUAGAAAAUAGAAAUGCAGGCAAAUACGUUUUACAUCAUGUUUCUGAAAAUAAAGUACUUGAACCAAUCCCAUUAAUUCCUAUUUCUUGAACGAAUCCCAUUAAUUCCUAAUUCUGUCUCCCUUUGCUGCUCCCCUUAACUCUCCCACAUCCCAUCGGAAUAGCACACCUUACAUGUCUUAUCCACACACAAACUGCACAAACAAAAAAUUUCGUCAGUGUUUCCUUCCAAUUUUUUAUUUUAUUUUUUUAUUUCAAUUCUACCUGAAACGUGAUCUGUUCACUUUGUUCAGCCGAUCCAUCAUGUCGUUGUGAGUAAUACAGUAGUUGAAGAUGAAUAAGGAUAACUCUGGGAAAGUACAACUGAUUGCGCGCUCGAUCUCUUCAAAUGUAAGCGUGUCUCUAUUAUUGCAAUCCUGGUUGCAGUGGGUAAUGAAGUUCUUUGCCAACUCUAACAUUCCUAAGCCAUUGUCUUCAUAUGUUUUCUUUUCAUCCUCUCUCUUUUUGAUCACCCUUUUGAAGGCAUUUCUCAUUCUCACCGGCAAACAAUCGAUUCUAUCUUUUAUCUUAUCAUGUCUGUGAGCAUUAGCACAAGAUGCCUUGAAACU
rnacentral:lncRNA from 1 species